AUUAUACCGCGAAACUGCGAAUGGCUCAUUAAAUCAGUUAUCGUUUAUUUGAUAGUACCUUACUACUUGGAUAACCGUGGUAAUUCUAGAGCUAAUACAUGCUAAAAAUCCCGACUUCGGAAGGGAUGUAUUUAUUAGAUUAAAAACCAAUGCCCUUCGGGGCUCUUUGGUGAUUCAUAAUAACUUCUCGAAUCGCAUGGCCUUGCGCCGGCGAUGGUUCAUUCAAAUUUCUGCCCUAUCAACUUUCGAUGGCAGGGUCUUGGCCUGCCAUGGUUACAACGGGUAACGGAGGGUUAGGGCUCGACCCCGGAGAUGGAGCCUGAGAAAUGGCUACAACAUCCAAGGAAGGCAGCAGGCGCGCAAAUUACCCAAUCCCGAUACGGGGAGGUAGUGACAAUAAAUACUGAUACAGGGCUCUUUUGGGUCUUGUAAUUGGAAUGAGUACAAUUUAAAUCCCUUAACGAGGAACAAUUGGAGGGCAAGUCUGGUGCCAGCAGCCGCGGUAAUUCCAGCUCCAAUAGCGUAUAUUAAAGUUGUUGAGGUUAAAAAGCUCGUAGUUGAACCUUGGGCCUGGCUGGCCGGUCCGCCUCACCGCGUGCACUGGUUCGGCCGGGCCUUUCCCUCUGGGGAACCUCAUGCCCUUCACUGGGUGUGACGGGGAACCAGGACUUUUACUGUGAAAAAAUUAGAGUGUUCAAAGCAGGCCUAUGCUCGAAUACAUUAGCAUGGAAUAAUAGAAUAGGACGUGUGGUUCUAUUUUGUUGGUUUCUAGGACCGCCGUAAUGAUUAAUAGGGACAGUCGGGGGCAUCAGUAUUCAAUCGUCAGAGGUGAAAUUCUUGCAUUGAUUGAAGACUAACUACUGCGAA
rnacentral:rRNA from 1 species